GCUCCUGUCGGCUGAAGUCUGAGUGGUAGCGCUCGUCCAGUGCUGCCCGCUUGGCUUCUGGCCAGUAGGCCUCCUCUCGCCUGUAGGAGAGCAGGACAUGAAGGAACGGACCCCAGCCUCACUGCAUCGGCAGGGAGGCACGUCUGCCCUGC